rnacentral:rRNA from 1 species
GACGUAGGGUGCGAGCGUUGUCCGGAUUUAUUGGGCGUAAAGAGCUCGUAGGCGGCUCGUCGCGUCGACCGUGAAAACCCGCAGCUUAACUGCGGGCCUGCGGUUGAUACGGGCGGGCUAGAGUUCGGUAGGGGAGACUGGAAUUCCUGGUGUAGCGGUGAAAUGCGCAGAUAUCAGGAGGAACACCGGUGGCGAAGGCGGGUCUCUGGGCCGAUACUGACGCUGAGGAGCGAAAGCGUGGGGAGCAAACGGG